GACGAACGCUGACGGCGUGCUUAACACAUGCAAGUCGAAGGGAGUGGCGAACGGGUGAGUAACACGUGAGUAACCUGCCCUUUUCUUUGUGAAAAGCAUGGGAAACUGGGACAAAUACUGGCUGGAUGGGGAUGGGAUCGCGGCUUAUCAGGUUGGUGGUGGGGUGGUGGUGUCACAAGGCGUUGACGGGUCGCCGGUCUGAGCGGGUGUUAGGUCAAACGGGGAGUGAGAUACGGCCCAGACGCGGACGGGAUGAAGCAGUGGGGGAUAUGGCACAAUGGGCGAAAGUCUGAUGCAGCGACGGCGUGUGGGGGAUGAAGGGCUUCGGGUUGUAAACUCCUUUCGGCCGCGGCAUGGUAGUGGGUAAAGAAGCGCCGGCUAACUACGUGCCAGCAGCCGCGGUAAUUC
rnacentral:rRNA from 1 species